CCUACGGGAGGCAGCAGUGGGGAAUUUUGGACAAUGGGCGAAAGCCUGAUCCAGCAAUGCCGCGUGAGUGAAGAAGGCCUUCGGGUUGUAAAGCUCUUUUGUCAGGGAAGAAACGGUGAGAGCUAAUAUCUCUUGCUAAUGACGGUACCUGAAGAAUAAGCACCGGCUAACUACGUGCCAGCAGCCGCGGUAAUACGUAGGGUGCAAGCGUUAAUCGGAAUUACUGGGCGUAAAGCGUGCGCAGGCGGUUUUGUAAGUCUGAUGUGAAAUCCCCGGGCUCAACCUGGGAAUUGCAUG
rnacentral:rRNA from 1 species